UGCUAGNUCGAGCGCCGUUCAUAGCCAAAAGGAGGCGCGGCGACAGUUUCAGUAGCACGUGGCUAACCUGCCCUUGGGAUAGGAACAACCCCGGGAAACUGGGGCUAAUUCCCAAUAGGUGAAGAACUCUGGAAUGAGUCUUCGCCAGAAAGGACUCCUACACUAUGCUUGUAGGUUUCGCCCAAGGAUGGGGCCGCGACCGAUCAGGUUGUUGGUGAGGUAAUGGCUCACCAAGCCUUUUACCGGUGCGGGCCGUGGGAGCGGAAGCCCGGAGAUGGGCACUGAGACAAGGGCCCAGGCCCUACGGGGCGCAGNNGUCGCGAAAACUUUGCAAUAAGCGCAAGNUUGACAGGGCUAUCCCGAGUGCCAUCCGCUGAGGAAGGCUUUUACCCCAGUCUAGAACGCCGGGNGAAUAAGCGGGGGGGNCAA
rnacentral:rRNA from 1 species